rnacentral:rRNA from 1 species
CCUACGGGAGGCAGCAGUGGGGAAUAUUGCACAAUGGGCGAAAGCCUGAUGCAGCGAUGCCGCGUGAAGGAUGAAGGUCUUCGGAUUGUAAACUUCUGUUAAGUGGGAAGAAAGGCACUGUGCUAAUACCACGGUGAGAUGACGGUACCACUAGAGAAAGCUCCGGCUAACUUCGUGCCAGCAGCCGCGGUAAU